UACGUAGGGUGCAGGCGUUAAUCGGAAUUACUGGGCGUAAAGCGUGCGCAGGCGGUCUAUUAAGACAGGUGUGAAAUCCCCGGGCUUAACCUGGGAACUGCGUCGGAUACUGGAUGGCUUGAAUUCGGGAGAGGGAUGCAGAAUUCCAGGUGUAGCGGUGAAAUGCGUAGAUAUCUGGAGGAAUACCGGUGGCGAAGGCGGCAUCCUGGACCGACAUUGACGCUGAUGAGCGAAAGCUAGGGGAGCAAACGGG
rnacentral:rRNA from 1 species